CAGCCAGCCUUUCUAUACAAGGAGCUGUUGGGGACUGUCACUUCUGAUGGUGUGAGCUCCUUUGGUGAAGAAGGCUGGCAUUGGAAUGCGAGUGUCUAAGCCUGGCUGGCUUCUUGCUUGUUUUUUUUUUUCCCCCCUUCUGGAACCUCAGGAAUCAGGUCCCAGGAGGCAGCACCAGGAGCAUCGAACCUCAGAAAGGAUGAGGCAAGUGUAAGAUCACAGGUGUGCUGCUCAGCCGCUCAUGACCACAGUCCCUCCGUGUUAAUUAGUGGGCUUUUCUUAUCUCCACAACUGUAUUUUAAUUGCCUGUGAGGCAGGCUUGCCUCCUAGAUGGAGGGUUCACACAUCCCUGCAGAGGCCCAACCAGGAUUUAUUGUUGCUGCUUAUGCCGAACUUGGUUCCUGUGGCUGCCAUUUUAACUCAGCAGGGAAGAGCCCUGUAGGUAAGAACAAUGCAGUAGUCAGGCGUUGGAUCAGCUGCAGAUACAUUUUUCUGCAGAGAACCUUUUAAAAUGUGUCAAUACUCUCCUGGAAUUGAACAGUCCUAAUGGCUAACUGUGAUGAUAUUCUUACAUUGUACCAGGCACUAAGCUAAGAUUUUUACAUAGCUCUUUACUUUCCUCCCUUGAUGAGAAUGUUCUAGUUAUUGGCUUUGGACUCAGAGAAAUUAAGUAACCUAAUACAAGCCACACAGCAAGUAAGACACUGGUCUGAGUUUUGAACUUGGGUGGACUGGUUCCAGAGUGUCUUCUGUGUGUCAAACAGUUCUUUUAAACGAACAUCAUGAUGUUCUAUUUCUCUUUUUCACAGCCUUGCGUGGAUGAAACAGUCCCAACGAACACUUUAAAAAGACAAAUGUUCCCGACAGCACUGGUUGAAUUCAAAACUCGGCAGAUCCAUGUUCUUAUCCUUAGACAAGAGAGGGGCCAUAACAAGAUGGAAUGACGGAACAGACGUGAGAGAUGAUGUCCACCCAGAGGGUCUGCACUUCUCGGAGCCAGAAGGUGGAGAAGAGUAGGGAUGGAGGAAGUUCGAAGUUUUAGGAGUCUGCUCUUGGGUCCCUAGGCAUGAGGACAAGCUUUUCCUGUACUCAAUGCUCAUCUCUCAGUUGUGCCCACAUUGGUACACAUUACUUGCUUUCAACUGCUGCUGCUGCUGUUUCCUAAUUCAAUAAAGAUAUGGCUGGCUCAGCAGAGAGCUGUCAUCCA
rnacentral:lncRNA from 1 species